GGCACUGUGGCAUAGUGGUUUUAGUGUUGGACUAUGACUCUGAAGACCAGAGUUCGACUGCCCACUGAGCCA